rnacentral:rRNA from 1 species
CCUGGCGGCAGUAGCGCGGUGGUCCCACCUGACCCCAUGCCGAACUCAGAAGUGAAACGCCGUAGCGCCGAUGGUAGUGUGGGGUCUCCCCAUGUGAGAGUAGGGAACCGCCAGGC